CAAUAAGGAACGUGCAUCUCAAGUUACUCUCGAAAAGCUAGGCCCAUGAGUGUGUACACCUGCUCCGGAGGCUAUAUGAGCGAAAUUUGUGCGAGCCAUUGAACGUUUUAAGGGGGGUCAAUCGGCAAAUGGCAGAUACAGUUCCCUGAACAGUCUAGCCUGACUGUCAAAGGUCGAUAAUCCAUCUCUCUAUUUCCUGCAUCGUCCUGGGGCUGUAUCAUUUUAGGGCCCUUUCGCCCGGCUCUGGGGGUGUUGAAAUACUCAUGACUCCGGAUACUCCACCCCGAAUGAGGCGCCGCUCAUCCCGAAAUCGGUAUACCUGCUGGCGCGAAACACACCUUCCUGGCCACCAUGACCGGAUUUGAUAUUGAUGGGGUUUGUGUUAUGGGAUUUGUAAUUGCGGAUUUCUGGCGUUGUUAGGGAAAACGAGGGAGUUUGACAAAGCGAUUGGAGGGUCAUUCGCACAGAUGCAUCGGAUCUGGUAGUAUUUGUUGCUGAGUGUUCAAGGAAGAAAUUCAAUCACUGAAUCUUCGCAUUCUGAAAACUCAUUCCAUUAGGCAUCUAUGAAACUCCUGAGCUACAUUGAAGUGAAGCCGCGAAGUAGGAAAGUGAAAGAGUAGGAUCAUGGUCGUUUCUUAUGUUAUUGAGCCUGCGACCUGAUCAACUAGAUCCUUGCGAAAAUCCUGUGCAUGUUGUGACAAUUAUCAGCCACAUCUUGUUUGCGCCAGAUCUUCGCACCCUGAAUUCCUGAGUAUUCUUGUAGCCGGUGAAAACUUUUCGGAGUCUUUCUCCAUACAUCAUUGUAUGUGCUUUGUAAGAGGAUAUAUCAAAGCAG
rnacentral:sRNA from 1 species